CGGCGGACGGGUGAGUAACACGUGGGUAACCUACCUAUAAGACUGGGAUAACUUCGGGAAACCGGAGCUAAUACCGGAUAAUAUUUCGAACCGCAUGGUUCGAUAGUGAAAGGUGGUUUUGCUAUCACUUAUAGAUGGACCCGCGCUGUAUUAGCUAGUUGGUAAGGUAACGGCUUACCAAGGCGACGAUACGUAGCCGACCUGAGAGGGUGAUCGGCCACACUGGAACUGAGACACGGUCCAGACUCCUACGGGAGGCAGCAGCU
rnacentral:rRNA from 1 species